rnacentral:lncRNA from 1 species
AUGAACAAGGCAUAACACCUACACACACACAGUAAAUACACACUACACACUACAUUUACUUGGCACCCGCCCGUAAAUGUAGUCAAAACUAGCCAAAAGGCUAAGAAACAGAAAUGUUUACCCUAAAUAAUAAUAAGCCCCGCAGGGCAUCUGAGGCGGAUGACGGGGAGUAGCGACCCCGCGGGGCUAUAUAUCCGAGUGCUCCAGGGAGAGUAUACUGUCCCCCAUCUCCGGCUUGCCGGAGUGAAGCAUGACGGGGGAUAGGUCUCCCGCCUCUUGGCUUGCCUUCACCGGCCGGUCAGAGUGGAGUCGCUAGAGCAAUGCUCGGAGGGUAGGUGCCUCGUGGUAAGUGGCGAGUGGGCCGGUGAUGCUGGACCCACAGGGAGCGCGUGAUCUGCGUUUAAAGUCCGCCGAGGUAUCCUUACCCUUCUCAGCCGCUCAUGUCCCUGUUGCCCUCUUGUUGCUUUUCAGUGACUGAUUCCCGGGGGCCCAGUAAGUGAGUUGGCGAGUCUCCACCUGCCAUUUUAACAUGUAUUUAAUACAUUGUCAUCGGCAGGUGCCAUAGUUCCCGUAGUUUCCCCAUUCCUAGUCCAUUAGCAUCCCAUCACAAUAGCCCAAGUAGUUUUCAUCCAUAGUUAGCAAUAG